rnacentral:rRNA from 1 species
AGAAUCAACGCUGGCGGCGUGCCUAACACAUGCAAGUCGAACGAGAAAGUGGGAGCAAUCCCAUUAGUAAAGUGGCGCACGGGUGAGUAACACGUGAGCAACCUACCUUCGAGUUCGGGAUAGCCCUGGGAAACCAGGAUUAAUACCGGAUGUGGUCACAACGGGACAUCCCGAUGUGAAAAAAGGCGCAAGCCGCUCGAUGACAGGCUCGCGGCCUAUUAGCUUGUUGGUGGGGUAACGGCCUACCAAGGCGACGAUGGGUAGCUGGUCUGAGAGGACGAUCAGCCACACUGGGACUGAGACACGGCCCAGACUCCUACGGGAGGCAGCAGUUAGGAAUUUUCCGCAAUGGGCGAAAGCCUGACGGAGCAACGCCGCGUGUGUGAUGAAGGCCUUCGGGUUGUAAAGCACUGUCGGAGGGAAGAAUGAAUGACGGUACCCUCCAAGAAACGCCCCGGCUAACUACGUGCCAGCAGCCGC